GUCCACUCAUAUUUUGUUUUACUAGUUUAACGUUAUCCAAGACAUAACAAUCUAUAAUCUGACAUUAGAACACUCAGAAAAUGAAAAUUACCUUCAACUGCUAAAAACAGCAUCCGAUUUUACUGUAGACAGUGUAGUUAGAUUUUGUAAAACGCAUUUGCAUUUCAAACGAAUAUUCACAACAGAAAAAGAUAACGGCAUAUCAAUAAUCCUUUGAAAACAAAUAUUUUCGAAACAUUUCCUUGAAUAAAGCACUAAUUAACA
rnacentral:lncRNA from 1 species